GGUGGCAUGAGCCUGUAGUUCCUACUAAUGGGAAAACUAAGGCAGGUGGAGUGCUUGAGCUCAGGAGUUUUGAGGUAGAGUAGGGUUAAAACUUAAUGGGUGUCCUCCCUAAGUCUGGCUCCAAUAAGGUGAGCCCCCAGGAGCAGAUCAUUAGGCUGCCUAAGGAGGAGUGAACCAACCUAGGUUGGUAAUAAAGCAAGUCAAAACUUCUGUGUCAAUCAGCAAUGGGAUCAAGCCUAUGAGAGGCCUCUGAACUUCCUGCCUGGGUAACAUAGGGAGACUGUCUCCA
rnacentral:SRP_RNA from 1 species